AGCAGGACAGCUCAUCUCUGGCUCAACCUCCCCUCAAAUACUAGAUGAAAGUCAAAACUAAGUGGAAGCACUGCAUUAGGAAGCAGGAGGAAAAAGACCUCAGUUGGAUACACUACCUCAGAGCUCAGGUUUUAUAAAUGUUGAUAACCAUAGGAGGACAUAACCUAUAUAGAAACUUGGCCAGCCACAGACAAAAGGUCUGUGGUCUCUAGGUGAAUCCUAAUCCUCCAAGAAUGUAAUAAAUUGUUACUUGAGGUCAGCAUGAAGGUGAAAGUAGCAGUUGAGUCUGCAGGAUUAUCAAACCUCUGCUGUUAGACUCCCCUUUUUAUAUUCUCAAAUAUAAUUCACAACUUCUUUUAAACUGACAUUAAGCAGUGUAAAAAUGGAUCAUAACACUCU